GCUGGCGGUAUGCCUAACACAUGCAAGUCGAACGGUAACGACGAAAGCUUGCUUUCGGGCGACGAGUGGCGGACGGGUGAGUAUCGCGUGGGAAUCUACCUUGUAGCGGGGGACAACUCGGGGAAACUCGAGCUAAUACCGCAUAAUCCCUUCGGGGGAAAGGCUUCGGCCACUACUAGAUGAGCCCGCGUCCGAUUAGCUUGUUGGUGAGGUAAUGGCUCACCAAGGCUACGAUCGGUAGCUGGUUUGAGAGGACGAUCAGCCACACUGGGACUUAGACACGGCCCAGACUCCUACGGGAGGCAGCAGUGGGGAAUAUUGCACAAUGGGCGAAAGCCUGAUGCAGCAAUACCGCGUGUGUGAAGAAGGCCUGCGGGUUGUAAAGCACUUUCAGUAGGAAAGAUAAUGACGGUACCUACAGAAGAAGCACCGGCUAACUCCGUGCC
rnacentral:rRNA from 1 species